GGUUGGAUAGGGCUUGGAGCAGCCUGGGAUAGUAGAAGUGUCCCUGCCAUGGCAGGGGGUGGAAGGAGAUGAGGUUUGAGGUCUUUUCCAAGCC